AUUGAACGCUGGCGGCAGGCCUCACACAUGCAAGUCGAACGAGUGGCGGACGGGUUAGUAAUGUCUGGGAAACUGCCCGAUGGGGGGUGAUAACUACUGGAAACGGUAGCUCAUACCUCAUACCCUCGGAUGUGCCCACAUGGGAUUAGCUAGUAGGUGGGGUAACGGCUCCCCUAGGCGACGAUCCCUAGCUGGUCUCAGAGGAUGACCAGCCACUCGGGAACGGAGAUACGGUCCAGACUCCUAAGGGAGGUGGCAGUGGGGAAUAUUGGAAAAUGGGCGCAAGCCUGAUGCAGCCAGGAAGCGAGGAUGAAGAAGGCCUGCGGGUUGUAAAGUACUUUAAGCGAGGAGGAGUUACUCGAAGAAGAAGCACAGGAUAACUCCGUGCAAGAAGCGGAGGUAAUAC
rnacentral:rRNA from 1 species